rnacentral:rRNA from 1 species
GACUAACGCUGGCGGCGUGCUUAACACAUGCAAGUUGAACGGAGCACACCAAGUAGCAAUACGAGGUGUGCUUAGUAGCGGACGGGUGAGUAACGCGUGAGUAACCUGCCUUUGUGAGGGGGACAACAGCCGGAAACGGCUGCUAAUACCGCAUGAGACCACGACCUCGAGUGGGUUGGGGUAAAAGAUUUAUCGCACAAAGAUGGACUCGCGUCCCAUUAGCUAGUUGGUGAGGUAACGGCGCACCAAGGCGACGAUGGGUAGCCGACCUGAGAGGGUGAUCGGCCACACUGGAACUGAGACCCGGUCCAGACUCCUACGGGAGGCAGCAGUGGGGAAUAUUGGGCAAUGGGCGCAAGCCGGACCCAGCAACGCCGCGUGAGGGAAGAAGGUCUUCGGAUUGUAAACCUCUGUCCUCAGGGACGAAUUAUGACGGUACCUGAGGAGGAAGCUCCGGCUAACUACGUGCCAGCCGCCGCCGUAAGAC